GGAAGGAAGCAAAGAACUCUUUACCCAUAUGCAGCUGACACAAGAUUCAGGUCUGUCUCUCUUUACUGUAAAGUCUUAGCAAACAAGGAAGCAGAGGUAAGUAUAAGUAUUAGUAUUAGAACAGUAUUAGUGUUCCAGCUGAAGAUGGUGGUGUUUUUAUUAUGAUUAGUUUGCCAUUAUUUAGAAUCUGAGGGUUGCUGACAUUUCCGGAUGAAUUCCCUGCUGGGAUGCAGGGUACAAUGGAUAGAAACUAGAUUAAGUCUUUGAUGCCUGCACCGUAACAUAUGGUGCAUUUUCUAUAGUGACUGGCCUUUAUCCAGGUACUUGAAUAGGGACGGAGAGCCACAAAAAUCUGAGCACAAAACCACCACUGAUUAGACAAAAUAUUCAGUAAAGAUAUCUAGAAUUCAUUCUCAGUUCCUUGAAUCUGUGGAAAUAGGUGAUAUUUUGGGAUAGGCAUAGACAUGUUACACAUAAUGCCCAGUCAAAAUUAUUUAGGAUUUUUUGAAAACCUAACCUUUGAUAGUUAAUAUUAGAGAGGGCAGUACUAUAAAUUAUCUGAUGUUAUCUGUGCCAAAGAAGAAUUUCCCACCCUCUGCCAGAAAAUCCAUUGGCAGCCUCUGGCUCUUGUAAUAUUCACAGUACCAACAAUGGAGGAAGUAACAAAACUUUCAAAGGGUCACAUAACUAUUAUAACUUUUGAAUAUUUACCUAAACCUUUUGGGUAUGCAAACUUAAACUGGAAAUCCCAGGAGACAGAUUUCUUGAGGGCUUCUGGUGUUCCUACUUUUGCUCAGCCAGGAAAUAUUACUAGAAGAGCCGCCCAGGUCCUGCCUCCAAUAAAAUUCACCAAUUCCUAAUUACACCAUGAAACUUUUUCAGUUUGGUUCAAGCCACUUCCCUACAUUUAGGAUGCCACAUUCAUGAACGAAGCAUAGCAUAGUCAGAUCAGCUACUGACAUAUCGCCAAAAAAGAAAAAUCUUCAACGUACAGAAACAGAUAAAUAGAUUUUGUUCAAACUAAAAAAAUCACCUUUGGAAAAAUAUUAAAAGUAAACAUCUUUAUCACAAAAGAAAUUUGGGAGUUUCAUUCCCAGAAAAAUACUGCCAACGUGAAGAAAGUUCAUAGAAACCACAAGAAAAAAAAUAGAGUGCGUGGUGACAAAUUUAAAAGGACAGAUUAAAAAUUAGUGAUUUCAUGAGAACUAAUGGAGGACAUAAUAGUUUAUAAAAAAGUAAAGGCUUUCACAAUCAAAGAAGGAGAGGAAUGACUAGACUAGAACAAGAGGAUAUAACUAGAAGUAAUGAGAUGAAGUUAAAAAAGUAAAAAUUCAGUCUCUCACUGUCAGUCUCUCACCCCUAACAGAAAGAUUUAAUAAACUGUGGAACGUUCUCCCAUGGCAAACUGGAAGCCCAAUUGUUUUGUACGGUUUAAAACAGGACUGACUAAAAUAACAAAAAAUAUGUUAUAGAGAACAAACCUGCACUGGCAAGAGAAGGGACUAGAUCUGCUCCAUCUCUAAUUUCUAUCCUUUUAUGGUUAUAUGAAAUACCACCAAAAUUAAGUCAUUCUUGAAGCAGGGGUUGUCAGACUAAAGACUUUUACAUUGCUACUAGCAAAGCCAUUACAGUGAAUUUCUUGAACUCUAAAGUCUUCAUAGUAAUGUGCAGUGCUGCUGCCUUUGAAGGAAUAAAUAAAGGGACAUAUGGGGAAAACUUUAUUGGAUUUUAAGAAAAUCAAUGCUCAACGUAAACAAUGAGUGUUGCAGACAUGGGACAGAUGGGAAAGGACAAUUGAGUCAUCAUUAUUGGAUUCUUAAAAGCCGGGCAUGCUUUUGUAUUAAAAAGAGAUUCACAGAAGAGUCAGAAAAUAUAUAAGCUUUUAAAGUUAUUUAUUGAACUUUUUCUAUCAUCUUAAAGAGACAGGUAUGGACAAAUACUAUCCUCAAAUCCUUGUGGAUGUCCACUAAUUUCAGAGGGAGUUGCACAUCGGUAACUGAAGGCAGAAUUUGACCCACAAUCUGUAGUAGACAAUAUGAUGUCCAAUAGUUAGAAUUUUUAUUUAACAAUAUAAUUCCCAUGAGCUAGAGCAUCUUCUAUUGGUGCUAUAUAAGGCAUUAUCAAACAAGGACCACUUCUGAAUACAGCAGUUGUCUCAUGGACUCCUUCCCUUCAGAUCGCAACUGUGAUCCACCUUCUCCUAUAAGCAGCUUCAUAACAUUCUUGUGGUAACUAUAGUAAUAUCAGGGAAGCAUAUAAUAUAUUUUAAUUAGAGCUGACUAGAAACCAGAAUUGCCAUUUUGCAGGAAAUUUCAAAAUUUCCAAACAAAUUCUACAGAAACAACAAAAAAUGACAUUUCAAAAUUUCACACAGAAUGGGAAUUCCAAAAUUUUGUUUUAAAAUAGAAAUUUCACUUUGAAGAAUUGUCAAGGCUACCCAGGAGGGGAGCUGGGCAGCUUGAGGAGCCAGGGAGCCUUGGUUCCCAGGCUGUGGAGGUCCUGAGAGCCUGCAUUUCCAAAGAACCAGGAGACUGGAAACUCUGGGAGCUGGACUCCUGACAGCCCACCUGGGAGCCAGGACUCUGCAGCAGUCCAUCUGGUGAACUGGCAGGAAACCAGGCCAGGUUCUCCCAAUGGGACCUUGCCUGGUUUCUGCUGGAAUUUUCUCUGAACUAACACGUUACCAUGGACUGUUUCAAUAUCAACAAAUCCACAUUUUCCAACAGCAAAAUCUUCCAUCUGGAAAUUUCUGACCCGCUCUAAUUCUAAUUUCAUUUAGCACGUUUUAGCAGCUGGAGUUAAGGCAUUCUUUUCAGACCACCACCAAGUUCUUUGUGAACCACUGAUGGUCUGCACAGUUUUAAAACCUCUAUGCUAUAUAUCAGAGCUGAGAAAUUCCAACCACACCUCACACUGACGGUUUACUCGGGGCCCAGUCCUGAAAGUUAUUGAUCAGAGUGAUGGCUGCUCUCAGCUCCUAAUAAGGGCAUACACCACUUGAAUGGAGGUACUCCACACCUGGCAGAAUCAGGCCCUCACUAGGUUUUCUUUUUCUUUUUACAUUGCUGUGUGGUUUUAAGCCACCAUUCACAAUGGUAGCAUGUUGGGUUUGGACAGAGUUAAAAUUUAAAGCAGAAGAGAGAUUUGGCGCCUACAGUAACAAGACUGUAUAAAGCACACUCCAUUCUUCUCACAGACAUGUUUUCCACAGAGCUGAUACAUUAAUUAUAUUGACCCAGUGCUAAAUAUUCUUGUAUGGAGAAAAAGGCAACAAGAAAAAUUACUACAUUUAAAAUUGGCACUUUAGAAAAAGCAAAAUAUUUGCCAGUUCUCCCUUUUAGUCCCAGUACAGCUCUCCAUCAGUUUCCAGUAGAUAUAGCAGUCAAAAUAAAGAAGUUUAAGGUGCUGAUCCAGGAGUCUUUCCAUUGAUUUCAAUGGGCAAUUGAUGAGGCUGUAAUCCAGAUGGCAUCUGAAUUUACUGACAAGCAUUUACUCUAGGUAUGUGAAACAAAGUUUUCAUCCCAUGUGGUUUGUAUUAUUUUUUUUUCUUUUCACUGUAUUAUUGGGGCAUGGUACAGUUUGUACAGACAAAGAAGCAGCAGCCUAGGCUUGUAUUGGUCCACUCAAGCAUGAAAUUAUAGUUUGUCAGCUCACAAUACUUAACAGCGCCCAGGAAACUUAAGUAUGAUACAGCAAUACUGAAAGCUUAUAACACGGACUUAAUCAACCAUGCCUCAGAAUCUCUUGCUAGUCUCAUUAUUUCAUAUACAGCACUGCAUGUGCAAGAAGUUACCUAAUGUUAUGUCUACAGUGUUAGAGAAUUCCUCGGCACAUUUAUCUUUCACUCUGUUCUCUUCAGUUAGCACAUUUUAAAAUACUUCUGUUUGCAUGCAGCAUAUUUUGUAUAUCUAGUACCACUUGCAGAUGGCACCUUUUUUUUUUAAUAGCUGCAGUUGUCACCAUGUGAUAUUGCUAAUUACACAACUACCUAAGCAAGGCAUUGGUAAUGGUUCCUAAUAAGAACUUAAUUAUUAAUGCUAAAUUAUAGUGGAAUUCUUAUAGAAGAAUGCGAGUGUAAAGAAAUUCAGCAUGAUUAAGGUUAUUAUCAAGAAUGCCAAAGGACAUGUUAAUGAUUUAUCACUUCUUAGAAAUUGUUGAAUCAAAGCAUCCCACAGCAUAUUCUAACUGCCAGAUGCAAAGCCCUUUGAAGUCAUUGACAGCAUAAAACAUAAAGAGCACAAGCUUAUGUCACAUAUUAGAUGGUAAAAGACACAAAGAAAAUUGCAUUAAGUACAGUUGCAAUAACACACGCGUAUUGUUACUUCUGAUAGCAGCAUCAAUAGCACAAAACCUAGUCUGUGUUCUCUCAUUAUUGAAUGAGAAUAGGAAUAAAUUAUUAGUUUGUGGGUUUGGUCAUCAGCCCAGAGUGGGACAGUAUGAGUCCCUCAGUUUCCAAAUGAGAAGCUCAAUCUCCCUCCCUUUAAAAAAGGGGGAUCCACUCCUAUAGUUUAGCAUUGGAGGAGAAGCUGGUAAGAUAGAACCUGUAUUUAUCCUGGGGAUGGGAGAAGUAGGACAUUUACAAGUUUCUUACAAGUUUUCCCCAGAGUUCAUAAUUGGUUUGCUAGUGAAGGGAGGGCGGAGCAGGAAAAUAAUAGAUUGUAAAAUAAUGUCCUUGCAUAAUAGAUGUUUGUUUUAAAAAGAUGAUAACUGAAUUUUAUGUGUUCAGAAUCCUGGAAUCACUUUGCUAAGAGCAAACAACGUUUACAUGGAAUGUUAGGCUAUGCAUAUCGCAUGAAAGAAUGAAAUAGUAUCCUGGUCUGAUAUCUCCAGCCAAGAUUUGGAUGGGUGGAACAUACAACUACUACAGAUACUGUAGAACAAUACACCAAAUGCAGAGCAAAUAGCAGCUCUGAGUCAGUUAAUCACAAACAAUAACAGAACAGAAAUACAUAUUAAUAUACUAAUAUUUCAUCUGCUAAUUUUUUUCUUAAUAAGCUUGUUUUUAAUUAUUUUGUGAUGGGCUGAAUUAAAAUUCUUAUUUGCUUUGCAUUUGCUCAUGCUUGCUGUUUGUUGUAAGAUUUUAUGCUGCCCCAAUCUCUGUGUGCACUUUUUCUUCUGAAUACCCAAGAGGAGGGCUGGUUACUCAUUUCCAUUUGUUAAAUACUUUUGAUCUAUUAACAAACUUCUGUUUUUUUGCUGAAGUUUCUGCAGAGUAGUGUGGUUUUACUCUGAUUUGGAUACUAAUACAUUUGAGCUGUGCAGCCCCUUCGCUCUGCUCUUUUUUUGAAAGAGCUUGCCUAUGUAAGCUCCAGCUGAAAUACCAGAGGACUAUGUCUCAUAUCCUUCACUCUAAUUUCCAUCAAAAUACUUGCAAGAAACAUUCCUGAGACAUUUCAACUAGAAUUAACCAGCAAGGAAUGAUUUCCUAAGAUAUGUGUUCCAUCUCCUGACAGAGUCAAGGAGACUACUUCUCCUGGAGAAAAAUGACUUUUUAGCAGCCUGUUCGCCUCGUUGAUGUAUGAACCAUUUUCAUUAAUAAGGGAUUCUGGAUACUUACUGUGGAGAAAAUACAUGAUUUAACAAUGAGCAUUUUAAAAGAAAAUCUUAAAUGCAAAACCGUAAUUAUCAAAUAAUACUUAAAACUAAUUCUAAACAGCUAUCGUCCAUCACAUUCAGGAGAUGAUUUGAUUCUUGUAUGCUCCUCUGUCCCUGUUCUUUGUCUUAAUGCUUGCAGUUUUGAUGGCUGCUGCCAGGCUACAUACAUUUCUUUGAAAUGAAAUCAAAACAGAGGCGGUAAAAGCUUCGAGCAACAAAUUUCACAGCAAAUGAUAGAGAGCCUGGAAGGUCAUGGAAUAUAAUGAUCCUGUACAGUAUUUCAGCUAGUCCCUUUAGACUGUGCACUAAUUACAUUUCUAGGCACUGUGUUAUAGGAAUGUAGAACUUGCUUCUUUCUAUUCUACACAGGUACUGGCUAUGUUAUAUUCUAUUUUUGUUUAAAAUUGCAUUUAUGUGUAAUUGUUAUGAAAAAUGGACAUGGAAAGUAUAUGGCUAUAUUACAUGCAAGAACAACACUUAUUCAUUGUCAUUGUGUACUGAUAUCCAUAAGACAGCAAAUGGCACAAUGAAUGAUAUCAGACCAGAUCCUGUUCUAAUUUAUUCCUAUAUAAAUUCAGAAUACAUCUAUGGGAGUCAAUGAAUUGCUGUGGAAUCUAGAUCAGAAUUUGGACCCAUACUCUCUAAAGGCUAAAUCCAGUGCUUGCACUUCUUUGAUAUGAAACAUGGAUGGAGUUGUAGAGCCUCCUGCCUGACUCCACCCAGGGAGCAGCUAUUUGCAUCCUGGGUGUGAGAGCAGAAUACGCCUUAGGGUAUCUUAUAUGGUUGCCUAACCCCUCCCUCUUCCUGGGAGUCGGAAUCCAUGGGUCACAUUCUGUCACCAGUUACAUUGGUAUAAAUCCGAUGCAAUUCCAAAGAUAUAAGCAGAGUCAUUUCAAAUUGACACUAUGAUAGCUGAGGGAAUAGCUUGCCUUGGCAACUGUCCAAAUUUAGUUCCCGUGGAAGUCAGUGGAUGCUUUUCCACUCAGAGCAGAAUGUUUCAUCAGGGAGUGUAUGAUACUAAGACAUAAGUAAAUAAUUACUAAGAGGAUUUCACUUAGCUUCAAUAUCCCUCAAGAAAUCAACAGCCUUUAAAAAAUAUAGCAGCAUGUUUAAGACUGAUUAUCACUAAUGUAUUGAAAAAUCAGUCAGUCUUCAUCUGGGGCUCGUGUAUGUUAGGCACUAUUUUCACUGAGCAUAGUCUUUUACAAUAAGAAGUGGUCCAACUCUGUCUUCCUUUCUGAAAAGUAAAACCACAUUUAACAGCAAUGAGUGGGGACUUGACUGAAGGCUACAGAAUCAAAAUCAGUAUCACAAAAUACCUCAUUGAGAUAAAAAGGGGCAGGGGAAACACACCAAAAGCUAUAACAAGAUCCAUCUAAGUAUUACAAUAGUGUGUCACUCAAUGUUUAUAUAUCAUUGUCUUCUGUCAAAUGGCAAGGAAAUGAAUUCUAUCUUAAAUACAAACCUUAAAAUAUAAAAUUUUAAUCACUGUAAAAUGCAUGCCUGUGUUUGAGUCUGCACUGUUCCAUACUCUUGGUGUCGUGUAUACAAUGAGGGAUUUGGUUUUAAUUUUUUCACCUAGAAUUAAUGGAAUUUUGAAUUACAUUACACUAGUUAAUCAUCUGGGACACCUUUGGACCUGUCACACAGAUAAAUAUAUGUAAAUAUAGAUAACGAGUGGAUUUUUUUAAAAAAGUAGACUAGCUAGGAAGGUAUUUGAGAAGCCAGCAUCAUCAGUUCUUAUCCAGUGUGGACCUGUUAUGACAAAAGCCAGCCCAGAAGCAAGUAUCAUUUAUCAUUUAGGGCCCAAUUCUUCAUUCCUGAGCAAAUCUCACGUUUAACGGAAGACAGUCUGAAGCACCCAUAGACCUGUUCUCUGGCCAUUGCACAUAUGCCCUUCUGUAUGGGUUUUAGCUAAUGGAUCCAUAGUUUUGCAGAUUCACUGGCUAUGAGGCAAUGAACUGGGACAGUGAGCCAGAGUUGGGAUAUUUGGAGGGUAGGUGGGUGUAGGGGAGGCUGCCAUCUAAGAUGUAAUUUAAAAAAUAAUUACAUUAGGGCCACAUCCUCA